rnacentral:misc_RNA from 1 species
AACAUCGCGCACCUGCGGGAACCUGCGGAAGGAUCAUUACAGAGUUGCAGAACUCCCUAAACCAUUGUGAACGUUACCUAAACCGUUGCUUCGGCGGGCGGCCCGGGUCCUUCCCGGCGCCCCUCGGCCCUCGCGGGCGCCCGCCGGAGGUAAACCAAACUAUUGCAUUGUAUGGCCUCUCUGAGUCUUCUGUACUGAAUAAGUCAAAACUUUUAACAAUGGAUCUCAGAUCGGAAGAGC